CCUCAGAGGAGUAAGGCCCUGCGCCCACCCCAUCCCUUCCUGUAUCCAGAGCUCUUUCUGUCAAGCAUCCGCCCCCUACCUGGGAUCCUCCUGCUUUUCUCACACCUGUGCCCUUCAAGAACCAGCCUGAGUCAUUUUUCUGGGAGGCUCAUCCUCAGGCUCCUGAUGAGGUGGGUGUCCCUUGCCCAGGUUCCCAACCCCUUGUGCAUAAUUCUCAUUAUGCCAUACUGUCAACCUUUCUUUCCUGAUUUCCCUUCCCCAUGGAACCACAGAAUCCUUGCAGGUAAGGAUUUGUCUUUCAUCUCUAUUUCUAGGGCAUCUGUUACCCUGCCGGGCAGAGUAGGAGGUCAAGAAAUAUUUGGAUAAAUAAACUACUCAGCCCGUGUUAUUGUCCAAUCAACCCACCUUCCCCCCCUCCAAAUUCCGUGUCUCCCAGAAUUCAGGUAAUACUAAUAAACCCUAAAUGCAGGCAAGGUUAAAUGCAACUCAACCAAAAUUCAAGUUCCAUAAAAAUCCAUGCAAAAGAUUUUGACAGAAUUCGGAAUGCUUCCAACAUACUUUUUUUUUUUUUAAGUUAGAAAUGCACUGCCAGGGAUCCCAGUCCAUGGAAAUGGAGGGAGAAGCAGACCCUAUAUUCCAAGUGAGAUAAGAGCGUGUCAACAGGGGAAUGCAGUGCAGCUGUGUCUAAGGAUCUAACCACCAGCGUCUCCAGCAAGUUAUAUGAAUCUAAAGUGAAAAGACAAACGUAUUGCGCUCAAUAUGUUCCUCCAAGCACAUUCAAUACUGGGGAAAUUUAAAAAACAGAUUCUUUCCUUGAACUGAUAAUGAACAGGAAGCAGAGUUCUAGACGCCCAUAACAAGUGCUAUUUCCCAGCAGAGCCAAGGAGCCCCUGGAGGAGGGCCAAGCCACAGAUAGAUGGUGCUCUCAGCCGGCAGCCAGCUCGGGACUCUGCCCACUGGGGCUUUGGCUUUGGGGGUAGGUGCUCCCACGUCACGAAGCUCCCCUUGCUUUGGGGGCACGUUGUUGUGUAGUGGAUGUCCUGCCCAAGAGACGGUUCCAAACAGCCAGGUGUACUACAUUUUUUUGUGAGAGUCUGACUUACAUGUUUUCUAACUCUUCCCUCGAAUAGCUAAGCUUAAGCGAAUAUCAAUAAGUAUAAAAGCAGAGAAUACACUAAGAGCAAAGGGUAAAUGUAACACUGGUGGGGUGGGUGUCCUCAUGACCUCUUCACUGAGCGCAGUCCCUCCCUUCUGCCAGUACUCAGCUUUAACGAAGGAGCCUCGGACCCUCCCCCCUCCCACCUGGCACGCUUUAGGUCCAACUUGGUCCAUGCAAACGGCCUCCAGUAGAUCUUCCUUAGAAGAUCUAUGUUCCUUACACUGCCUGGCACUGCUUGAGGGUGGGAAAAAACCCACUGUUCAGCAACAACCCUAAUCCUCACUCUGUAGGGAAGAAACAGCCAGGAGCGAGACAGUCCUCCAGUUCUGUGAGACUGAAACGGUGCGUGAUGAGUCAAACCCACUCCACCUGUCUUCACUAAUCACGAUCGCUUUAACGCUUGCGUGUCCUCCAAGCCGCAUGUAGCCCGAACAGCAAGAGCUUUGCCCGAGUUGUUUUCCAGGAACUUGGAGCUGCAGCUGCCUCUAGUUCAGCUUAGCCAGUUAAAACUGGAUAGGACCGGCGAUCCUCCAGCUGGGCACCUGCAGAGACCCGUAGAACUCUCUUUGCUGUGAACUUCGGCGUCUCAGCGUUUUGGCUGGCUGUGCGACAGCAGGACAAGGCUGGUUUGAGCUGAUGAAGGACUCUGAAGAAGAAGCCCAGAUCACUGAUGAUUUAAUGGCCUCCUAAUAAAACCACUUUGGACAAAACCACAAAAAGUAAGAAAGAAAUCUUUUUAUUAUAUUUAAGCCACUGAAAUUUUAGGAUUUUUUAUACAGCAAUUAACCUACCCUGACUAAUAUAGACAUUAGUUCCUGAAAGUGAGGUACGGCUGUAGCAAACAGCUAAAAUAAAAUACAUG